UACAGAGGGUGCGAGCGUUAAUCGGAAUUACUGGGCGUAAAGCGUGCGUAGGUGGACGUUUAAGUCGAAUGUGAAAUCCCCGGGCUUAACCUGGGAACUGCAUCCGAUACUGGGCGUCUAGAGUAUAGUAGAGGAAAGUGGAAUUCCCGGUGUAGCGGUGAAAUGCGUAGAUAUCGGGAGGAACAUCAGUGGCGAAGGCGACUUUCUGGACUAAUACUGACACUGAGGCACGAAAGCGUGGGGAGCAAACAGG
rnacentral:rRNA from 1 species